AGCAGCCGCGGUAAUUCCAGCUCCAAUAGCGUAUAUUAAAGUUGUUGCAGUUAAAAAGCUCGUAGUUGAAUUUCGGGAUCAGUAUGUUGGUCGUGCUUCGGUACGUACUGUCAUUACUGGUUUCUACCUUCUGAAGAACCAUGAUGUCAUUAAUUUGGUGUCUUGGGGAAUCAGGACUGUUACUUUGAAAAAAUUAGAGUGUUUAAAGCAGGCCCGCGCUUGAAUACAUUAGCAUGGAAUAAUGAAAUAGGACGUUUGAUUCUAUUUUGUUGGUUUCUAGGAUCGACGUAAUGAUUAAUAGGGAUAGUUGGGGGCAUUAGUAUUCAAUUGUCAGAGGUGAAAUUCUUGGAUUUAUUGAAGACUAACUACUGCGAAAGCAUUUGCCAAGGAUGUUUUCAUUAAUCAAGAACGAAAGUUAGGGGAUCGAAGACGAUCAGAUACCGUCGUAGUCUUAACCAUAAACUAUGCCGACUAGGGAUCGGAUGAUGUAUUUUUAAUGACUCAUUCGGCGCUUAAC
rnacentral:sRNA from 1 species